UGCACAUGACAGUCAUAAUGCCCCCACUGGCUCUAAGAAUUCCUGAAACAAGGGGCUCAUCUGACCUGGUGUCAUGUGUGACCAUGGAGUCCAUCUCCCACGGACGUGAGCUGAGGGAGCAGAAGCCAGAUUGUGUGCCCUUCCCCACACGAAGAGCCUCAGGCAGACAUUGCCAAUUCACCUUUCCGGAGUUGUCUUCUGUUCCGCGUGGGGAGAAGAUGAUCGAGGGGGCUGCUGGGAGCAUAGGGGAGGCACCUUGUGCCCACACACAUCUGCGGAUGAACUCUUGGGGUCAUGCGGAAUGAACACCUACAACAGAGAGGACAAAGCUGUCCUGCAGUGCCGGGCUUACCUGCGCCACCGCCUGCAGCCUUUGCUUCCUGACUCAGCCUAACUCCCAAUGUCAGAAUAAAUGCAGGAGAGGGCAGUUUGGUGAUAAAAGGAGAGGAACUAUACUUGGAAAUGAUAUUUUUCUGCAUAUUUAGAACCAAAAACCCCACUGGUUCAUUGAUCUCUGUGAGUAAAGGGUUAAUAAAGCUCCCUUUCUGGAAUUGAAUCUGA